rnacentral:rRNA from 1 species
UACGGGGGGGGCAAGCGUGGUUCGGAAUCACUGGGCGUAAAGGGCGCGUAGGCGGCCGAUCAAGUCGGGGGUGAAAGCCUGUGGCUUAACCACAGAAUGGCCUUCGAUACUGUUUGGCUUGAGACCGGAAGAGGUUAGUGGAACUGCGAGUGUAGAGGUGAAAUUCGUAGAUAUUCGCAAGAACACCAGUGGCGAAGGCGGCUGACUGGUCCGGUUCUGACGCUGAGGCGCGAAAGCGUGGGGAGCAAACAGG